UACGUAGGGUGCAAGCGUUAAUCGGAAUUACUGGGCGUAAAGCGUGCGCAGGCGGCUUUGCAAGACAGAUGGGAAAUCCCCGGGCUCAACCUGGGAACUGCAUUUGUGACUGCAUGGCUAGAGUGCGGCAGAGGGGGAUGGAAUUCCGCGUGUAGCAGUGAAAUGCGUAGAUAUGCGGAGGAACACCGAUGGCGAAGGCAAUCCCCUGGGCCUGCACUGACGCUCAUGCACGAAAGCGUGGGGAGCAAACAGG
rnacentral:rRNA from 1 species